rnacentral:rRNA from 1 species
UACGGGGGGGGCAAGCGUUGUUCGGAAUUACUGGGCGUAAAGUGUGCGCAGGCGGUCGCGCAAGUCGAGUGUGAAAGCCCCGGGCUUAACUUGGGAAUUGCGCUCGAAACUACGUGGCUGGAGUGUGGCAGAGGAAGGUGGAAUUCCACGUGUAGCGGUGAAAUGCGUAGAGAUGUGGAGGAACACCAAUGGCGAAGGCAGCCUUCUGGGCCAACACUGACGCUCAUGCACGAAAGCGUGGGGAGCAAACAGG